UCUUCAUCUUAUCAAU
rnacentral:rRNA from 1 species